GUUGUCGGGCCUUCAUUGGCUUGGUAACGUAGCUAACGCGUGAAGUUGACCGCCUGGGGAGUACGGUCGCAAGAUUAAAACUCAAAGGAAUUGACGGGGACCCGCACAAGCGGUGGAUGAUGUGGAUUAAUUCGAUGCAACGCGAAAAACCUUACCUACCCUUGACAUGUAUGGAACCCUGCCGAGAGGUGGGGGUGCCCGAAAGGGAGCCAUAACACAGGUGCUGCAUGGCUGUCGUCAGCUCGUGUCGUGAGAUGUUGGGUUAAGUCCCGCAACGAGCGCAACCCUUGUCCCUAGUUGUUACGCAAGAGCACUCCAGGGAGACUGCCGGUGACAAACCGGAGGAAGGUGGGGAUGACGUCAAGUCCUCAUGGCCCUUAUGGGUAGGGCUUCACACGUCAUACAAUGGUCGGAACAGAGGGUUGCCAAGCCGCGAGGUGGAGCCAAUCCCAGAAAACCGAUCGUAGUCCGGAUCG
rnacentral:rRNA from 1 species